GUCUCUGUAGCGCAAUGGAUAGCGCGUUGGACAUCUCAUCCAAAGGGCGGCGGGUUCAAACCCCACCUGGGAUG